rnacentral:rRNA from 1 species
GAUGAACGCUGGCGGCGUGCCUAAUACAUGCAAGUCGAGCGAACAGACGAGGAGCUUGCUCCUCUGACGUUAGCGGCGGACGGGUGAGUAACACGUGGAUAACCUACCUAUAAGACUGGGAUAACUUCGGGAAACCGGAGCUAAUACCGGAUAAUAUAUUGAACCGCAUGGUUCAAUAGUGAAAGACGGUUUUGCUGUCACUUAUAGAUGGAUCCGCGCCGCAUUAGCUAGUUGGUAAGGUAACGGCUUACCAAGGCAACGAUGCGUGGCCGACCUGAGAGGGUGAUCGGCCACACUGGAACGGAGACACGGUCCAGACUACUACGGGAGGCAGCAGUAGGGAAUCGUCCGCAAUGGGCGAAAGCCUGACGGAGCAACGCCGCGUGAGUGAUGAAGGUCUUCGGAGCGUAAAACUCUGUUAUUAGGGAAGAACAAAUGUGUAAGUAACUAUGCACGUCUUGACGGUACCUAAUCAGAAAGCCACGGCUAACUACGUG